UGGAAUACUGUCUUAGAGGCUUAUACUAAGUCUGGAGAGUAAGAUGUGCAUGUCUACUUCCUGUCUUUGAUUUAUCUUUCUGUUUGUAUGUUUUACCAGGUAUGAAAAAAGAAAUAUAUGCUUGUUUCCUGUCUGAAGUUGAUCCCUCUGUUUGCAGCAUAAGGGCUUUCUUUGAGUGGUUUGCCAGUAAGACUAUAUGAACUGGACUUUCCAGAUAUAGAUUCCUGUUUGGCUCAGGGGUGGAUCCUCACGCUCUUCUUGUCUCAGAAGGUUUCCCCAUUCCAAUAAAGUAGAUUAUUAGCUACUUUCUAUUUUCCCUACACAAAAUCAGCAUGGAUAUCCAAAACUGAUGAAGAUAGGUAGCUGCGCAAUUAAUAUUCUUUAUCAGUAAUCAAGAUCUGAGUUUGUUUAAUAAUUACGAACAUAUAAUUUAUGGGGCUACCCUAAUAUUUAACAAAGCUUUAAAGAUACGUUCACUAAACAAAAAGCUAAAUUAGAAAAAGAACAAUGAUGAAUUGAUAUAAUACUUCAACAAUCCAGAGUUGUACACAGAUAGUUCUAUGAAGCACCAUGGUAUAAUUGGAAUUUAAGGUGACCAAAGUAACUAAAUAGUUACAUAUUGGAUAUUGCUUUUGAAAAGGAAAGUAAAAGUUAUGGUUUGACAAAUAUAAUUUUGGAAUACAAGAAUACAAGAAUUGUAAUUAAAUAACUUUGUCAAUAAUUUUGCUUCUAUAAAUGAAUGUUACUAAAAUUAUGUGUGAAUGAAAAAAUAUAUAAAAGACUUUACAUAAAAAUAAAAUAUAUAAUACUUAAUAUUAUAUUUAUAAAUGAUUAAAAAUAGUUUCUUGCAUUGUAUAGCAAAAAUAAUUUUUGUUUUAGGCAAGUUUACUCAAAUUGAUUCUGGUUAAGUUGCUUGUUUUAUGGGACUGCUAAUUUAAGUAUCUCAAAGCAUUAAGUACCUUAGAAUAUUCAUUUCUGUACUUUAGUAUUUUACCCCAAAAAAUAUACUCUCCUAAAAGGGAAAUACAUUUUUCUAAUUUGUAUAAAAUACAAUUAAACACUUUUGCAAAAAAUACAUAUAUAUAGUAUAUAUAUACAUAUAUAUGUAUGUACAUAUAUACAUAUAUGUACAUACAUGGGUACAUAUAUAUGUAUGUAUGUACAUAUAUAUGUAUGUAUGUACGUAUGUAUGUACAUAUAUAUGUAUGUAUGUACAUAUAUAUGUAUGUAUGUACAUAUAUGUACAUAUAUGUGUGUAUAUAUAUAUUAAACCCAAGUGAAUGAGAAAUCUGUUAGAUUUACUAUUCUCACUAUAGAGUAUAAGUUCAAUGGAGAGCUUGAUGACAACAGAAACUUAUAAAUAAACCACCGGGUGUUCUUUUUAUGACAACUUUCUAUGGAUCUUUUUUCUGAAAAGUGUGGUUGACAGAAUUUCGUGUGUAUAUGCAUCAUAUCCUGUGUUCUGUUGCCCCAACUACAGUUUUGCGGCAAACGUUACCCUGUCAUCAGAGUAUUGAGCCAUCAAUAACUUGGUCUUAUGUUUUGGUUAACUACAUCACAAUGACCACAUUGAUGAAAAAUUUAAAACAUAACCCUCAUUAUUUAAAUAUAAUGGUAGAAGUUGAAUGUGUUAUAGUAGAAAAACUCAGGAUGUUCAGGCAGUGAUUAAUGAUGAUGAGUUAAUAAAUAAAUACUAGUUUUACAGUAUCAAAAAUGGAGAAAUAUUUUAAGUAGCUCAUAUUUUAAGGUCCCUUUAAACACCAGAAUUUAAAUGCUUGGGUUUAGAACAUAAUUCCUAUUGUAUGGGGGUGUCAUAAGGUGAAAUAUUUAUCAGUUUUAGGUUGAGGGAAACCUAAGUUUUAAUUCUGACGCUGCUACAUAUUGGCGUCAUUUCUUGACUCUACGUAUAUACUUAAUUUUAUUGAGAUAAGUCAACAAAAUAAUAUAUGUAAAGUGCCUGAUAUGUUCUAGACACACAACAAUAAGCAUUCUUAUUUAGUUGUUUGUUGUAGUUAUUUGAUAAGACCAGAUCUAUAAACCACUGUUAUUAAGAUCUGAAGCAAUCUUUGUAGGUAAAUAAUUUCGAAAAUGAUGUUCCUCUAUUUUAAAUGCCUGUCUACCUCCUUUUGUAUUUUAAAAUGAGUAAAAUAAACUAAUCAAUAAAACAA